GAAACUGGCGGUAAUACUGGAUGAUAUCUUUGGAUCAAAGGUGAGAUUCCGCCCUUGGAUUGGACCGCAUACUAUUAGCUUGUUGGUGAGGUAAUGGCUCACCGAGGCUGCGAUGGUUACCGGGUGUGAGAGCAUGGCCCGGCUCACUGGGACUGAGACACUGCCCAGACACCUACGGGUGGCUGCAGUCGAGAAUCUUCGGCAAUGGACGAAAGUCUGACCGAGCGACGCCGCGUGCGGGAUGAAGGCCCUCGGGUUGUAAACCGCUGUCAGUUUGGAGGAAGGGCCUGUGAAGAGCAGGCUUUGACCGAUAUUCAGAGGAAGGACGGGCUAAGUUCGUGCCAGCAGCCGCGGUAAGACGAACCGUCCAAACGUUAUUCGGUAUCACUGGGCUUAAAGCGUGCGUAGGCGGCUUGGUAGGUGUGAUGUGAAAGCCCACGGCUCAACCGUGGAAUUGCGUCGCAAACCCCCAAGCUUGAGGAAGACAGGGGUGUUGGGAACAUAUGGUGGAGCGGUGAAAUGCGUUGAUAUCAUAGGGAACACCGGUGGCGAAGGCGCAACAC
rnacentral:rRNA from 1 species